rnacentral:rRNA from 1 species
UACGUAGGGGGCGAGCGUUGUCCGGAAUCAUUGGGCGUAAAGCGCGCGUAGGCGGCCCUGUAAGUCCGUUGUGAAAGUCGAAGGCUCAACCUUCGAAAGCCGAUGGAUACUGCAGGGCUAGAGUCCGGAAGAGGCGAGUGGAAUUCCUGGUGUAGCGGUGGAAUGCGCAGAUAUCAGGAGGAACACCAAUAGCGAAGGCAGCUCGCUGGGACGUUACUGACACUGAGGCGCGAAAGCGUGGGGAGCGAACAGG